UUCGCCAUGUUGCCCAGGCUGGUCUUGAACUCCUGGGCUCAAGCAAUCCUCCUGCCUUGGCCUCCCAAAGUGCUGGGAUUAUAGGCAUGAGCCACCACACCUGACCUUGGAUGGAAAUCUCUAGAACUGUAUUACAUGCUUCCUUGUAUUCAUAAGUAGAAUAUAUGGGAUAUAGUGUGUCUCUGCCACUGAUCUGAGGUCAUUUGCUAUGAUUGGUGGUACCUGGAGAUGACCAUGAGAUGCUCUUGCCCUCAAGAACCAGGAAGCAGAUCACAUCACAGUCUGCUCCACUGUGCUCCCUCCACUGUCCCUGACCCAUCGCCAGCUCCUACCGUCACCCGUGAGGUCCAAUAUGGUGUCGUCCUCCCCUCGAUCGUCAGAAACCAUCGCUCUGUAAAUCCCCUUGUCCUUUUUGGACAACUGGAAAGAAGGAUGAGCGAUGGUGGUGUCAGCAUGGGCUUCAGAAGGAGAGAUGGCUACCAAAUCAGGAGGCCUGGGCUCCAGGCCUGCCCCUCACUCUCUGUGUGACCUCAGGUAACAAGACCCUUCUCCUCCCUGGGCCUCCGUUUACUUAUCUGGACUGGGUGAGCUCUAAGGCUCCUUUCAGCUCCAGAGCCCUUGGAUUCCUAGCUCGGGGAUUGUCUGGGCCUGGGGAAGGGGUGGAGUAGGGGGAGUUGAGGGCAGAACCAGACACCUUCAUUUGCAUUCACAGGCGGCUGAUCUGAGCACAACACAGUGAGCCUCACUUUGCAGAGCUUGUCUGGGCCUGGCCCACCUUUCACUCCCUGGGGGCUCCUGGAUGGAGGGACCCCCACCACCUGCAGUUCCCCAAGAGGAAGCAUGUUUUCUCCUGCCCAGGACAAGGGGGUUCUCUUGGCCCAUGUUUUUCAGCCCCAAAUUAAGUCUGAACAAACACUCAGCAAAGCAAGAACCUGAGUUGUGCUUUAAAGGCAAGGUCCAGAGAUCAGGAGUGACCUCUCAUUACACAGCACCUUCCUUCAGCCCCUCAUCUCUCAAUACUUCCCAGCAGGACCAUCUCCACACAGUGGGUUUGGGGCAGGAUCCAAGACAGAGGCAGCUCUUAACCUGAGGAUUGAGGUGCUGAGCCCCCAAAAUCCUCUCUUAUGUCCUCACCAUCCCAGGAAGGCUCCAAGGUCUCAGCCAAACCCAGAGUGGGUGUCUGGAGUGGCUUCUGACCCCACCCUCUAGCCUUAUGUCUUUACACUGAAACUCUCUGAGCCUCAGUUUACUCAUCAGUAAAAUCACGGUAUCAUCCUUGCCCUGCCUGUGUGCUACAGCUGCUGUGGGGAUCAAGGGAGGUAACUCUUAGGAGGCCAGAAACUUUGCACCAAUGGGACUGAUGAUUAUACUAAAACUCCGUAACGAUGAAGCACCUACUUGGUGCCACAGCCUGUCUGAGGAGCUUGCACAGUGGUGGCAAAGGCUGACUUGGCAUCAGCCUGGCCAGGAUUUGGGAGAAGACCUUGAAAUCAUUGUUUUCUUCCUAGUCAGCAAACCUCUGUUUGCUCCAGUCCUCCUGGGCACCCAGUGAGGCCACAGACAUCAGCAGCAGGGCAGAAAAAGGUUGACGUUUAAGAGUAAGCCUUGUGUUUCUCUCUUAACCAGGCCACGGUCCGCCAAAGGCCAUAGGGGAGGACAUGGGGGGAGAACUGAGCUCCAGGCCUGCUUUAUUCAGCCCAGAUCUGCCUCACCUGGAGACAUCCUUCCUGUCCCGAAUCCCAGACUGCUGGGGCAGGAAGGAGGUGUUGAGAGAGCAUCCCUUCCAACUCGCUCAGGUUGCAGAUGAAAGCUGAGGUCAGAGAGGGACAGGGGCUAGCCCAAGCCUGCAUAGUCAUUGGCAGGGCCAGUACUGGAGCUAAAGAAGAAAAUCAGUAAUACUGAUUCUGUCUCUAUUGAAAGUUUGGGGGUUUUAAUAGUUUUUGUUUGCAUUAAUUUUGAUUUUUUAGAACAUUGCAUACAAUAUUAUUUAUCUUGAUUACUGAGUUUUUUUGGUGCCCCUUAAAUUUUGUGCUCAGGGCUUCACUUGCAUCAACCUAGCUUCGGCCCUGCCUCUGACACCCAGCCCAGAGCCCUCCCUGGCUUGCAGCCAAAGGAGAAAGUGAGCCCUGAAGCUGGAGCCACACUUGCCUCUUCGAUGCAGAGAAGUCCCGUUCCCGUCUCUGGGUCAUACUGACCAUCUGGCAUCUCUGCCCUCUGGAAGAACCACUGAAAGCGAGUCUCCUUCUUGGUGUUUGUCACCUGGGGAAGGUGGGGAAUGAGGAGACUGUCGGGCUUGUUUCUUUUUGAGUAAAAACACACCUGUGCACACCUUCA